UAGAAUUUUUCUGAUGUUAUAACCAUGUGAAGAUAUUUAUGCCUCAGCCCAAAUGUCACUGAGAAAUUAAAUUCUGCUUCAUCAACAUAAAACAUUACUGCAGAUGCUCCUUAAAGAAUUGCAGAUACGUGAGGAUGUGCAGGCGUGAGGUUUAACUAUACCCCAAAUCUCCAAAUUCAACGGCACAGUUUUCUUUCGGGAGAAGCUGGGGCUCUUCCUGAUUGAUCUAAACAUGCAUCUGGCCCAGGAGUUGGAGAAAAUGGAGGAUCUGGCAGGAUAAACCAGGCGAGCCAGCAGAUAACUUCCUGUGCCUUGUCAACAUGGAAGACUCAGCUCAGCAGGCUUUUUCUCCUCCCUCAUAACAUCUUGGUGACGUGCUCCAACCUCAACCCCAGGGAAGCUGAUCAUUUCCGCCUUUAUGCCGCGACUGUGCCUUGUACAUAUUCAAGUAUAACUGAGUCACAAGCUAUAUCUCACCGAUUGUGUGUGUGUCUAGUUAUGAGUCACUGGGAGAGAAGGUACUUUGCUCACCUACAUUCCCAAUGCUGGAAGAUAAUGGACACCACAGGAGAACUUCCAGGUAGAAGUAAAGCAGAGGGGUGGAGCCAGAGAAUACUGGAUUUGAGUCCUGGACUCUGCCACUCUGAGUCUAUGGACAAUGUAUUUAGACCUUCAGGGCCUAAAGAUUCUCAUCUGCAUAUUUUUUAAAUAAAAUAUUCCUGGCCAAAAAUUGUUAAAAAUUAAAUGAAUUUGUUUGUAUAGUAUAAGGGACCUGUCACCAAGCACAGAGUCACCAAAACAGCUACCUUCUAAUGUCACUCUCCUUGUUGAACUAAACAUCCUUUCAGAGGUCCGU